GAUUCCCCUAGUAACUGCGAGUGAAGCGGGAAAAGCUCAAAUUUAAAAUCUGGCAGUCUCUGGCUGUCCGAGUUGUAAUCUAGAGAAGUAAUGCCCGUGCUGGACCGUGUAUAAGUCUCCUGGGAUGGGGCGUCAUAGAGGGUGAGAAUCCCGUCUUUGACACGGACUACCAGUGCAUUGUGGUAUGCUCUCAAAGAGUCGAGUUGUUUGGGAAUGCAGCUCAAAAUGGGUGGUAAAUUCCAUCUAAAGCUAAAUAUUGGCGAGAGACCGAUAGCGAACAAGUACCGUGAGGGAAAGAUGAAAAGAACUUUGGAAAGAGAGUUAAACAGUACGUGAAAUUGCUGAAAGGGAAACGCUUGAAGUCAGUCGCGUUGGCCGGGAAUCAGCCUUGCUUUUGCAUGGUGUACUUUCUGGUUGAUGGGUCAGCAUCAAUUUUGACCGCUGGAAAAAGACCUGGGGAAUGUGGCAGCUUCGGCUGUGUUAUAGCCCCUAGUCGCAUACAGUGGUUGGGAUUGAGGAACUCAGCACGCCGCAAGGCCGGGUUUCGACCACGUUCGUGCUUAGGAUGCUGGCAUAAUGGCUUUAAGCGACCCGUCUUGAAACACGGACCAAGGAGUCUAACAUGCCUGCGAGUAUUUGGGUGGAAAACUCAAGUGCGUAAUGAAAGUGAAAGUUGAGAUCCCUGUCGUGGGGAGCAUCGACGCCCGGACCAGAACUUUUGGGACGGAUCCGCGGUGGAGCAUGUAUGUUGGGACCCGAAAGAUGGUGAACUAUGCCUGAAUAGGGUGAAGCCAGAGGAAACUCUGGUGGAGGCUCGUAGCGAUUCUGACGUGCAAAUCGAUCGUCAAAUUUGGGUAUAGGGGCGAAAGACCU
rnacentral:rRNA from 1 species